UACAGAGGGUGCGAGCGUUAAUCGGAAUUACUGGGCGUAAAGCGCACGUAGGUGGAUAUUUAAGUCGAAAGUGAAAGCCCUGGGCUUAACCUAGGAAUUGCCUUCGAUACUGGAUGUCUAGAGUAUGGUAGAGGAUAGUGGAAUUUCCGGUGUAGCGGUGAAAUGCGUAGAUAUCGGAAGGAACACCAGUGGCGAAGGCGGCUAUCUGGACCAAUACUGACACUUAGGUGCGAAAGCGUGGGGAGCAAACAGG
rnacentral:rRNA from 1 species